UUCAUCUUUGCACCCUUGGCCAAAGAUGAAUUUCAUCACAAUAUAAGCAUGAGGAUGAUGACAAUGAUAUAAAAAUUCAAUCAAACGAGAUCAAUGAUAAGUAUUAAAGAUUUAAUAAUUUAAUUUAAUUCAGAAUUCAAGAAUAUCUAAAUUGUCAUCAUGAUACUGCUUUGUAGAGUAAAAUUCAAAAAUAAUAAUGUAUCAAAAAUGAUUUGGACCGAAAAGAAAUCAAUUUUUGUCAUGAAUAGUACUUCGGGUGAAUAAUACCCCAUGACUAGUACUUCAGGAAGAGUAUCCCGUGAAUAGUAUUCCAGCAUGAAAAGGUUAAAACUUAUCAAGAAUGCUCAGCAUAAUAUUUCCAUGAAAAGAUACUGGAUGAAGCGCAAAUAUCAAAGGUAUUCUACUAAUUUCAUGUAGUAUAGAAGCCAAAACUUAACAAAAUGAGUGUAGAAUUCAGAAUCUGAAAUGAAAUAAUAUUACUUACAUACUACAGAGUAUGGAAUAAAAUAUUAUUUUUUACGAAUAUUGAACAAAAAUAACAUCCAUUACAACUGUUGAACGAAAAUAAUAUUCCUUACGAAUAUUGAACGAAGAUAAUGUUCCUUACGAAUAUUAAACGAAGAUAAUAUUUCUUACGAAUAAUUAACGAAAUAAAAUUUGUUACGAAUACGAAAAAUAAUAUCGUAAGCGAAUAUGAAAUAAACAAUACCCCUUACCUUAAAAAGGAGAGUAUUCCAACUGGUAUAGCGGAGAUAUUUUUGAAGAAAACUUUCACUGUUUUCUACACUCAAAGCUUCCUAAAAUUCAAAAGAAAUACGCUCAAUAUUAUAGAAGAAGAAUUCUCUGAUUCUGAUAUGAUUUUCAAUUCUAAACUAAGCAUCCUAUUUAUAGGAGAAUUGCAGGAUACUAUUUAGAUGCAUAGUAAUGAAAAAAAUCACGG
rnacentral:lncRNA from 1 species